UACGAAAUUCAGCAGCAUCACU
rnacentral:miRNA from 1 species